rnacentral:rRNA from 1 species
UGGGGAAUAUUGCACAAUGGGCGCAAGCCUGAUGCAGCAACGCCGCGUGAACGAUGAAGGUCUUCGGAUCGUAAAGUUCUUUUGCAGGGGGAGAUAAUGACGGUACCCUGUGAGGAAGCCCCGGCUAACUACGUGCCAGCAGCCGCGGUAAUACGUAGGGGGCUAGCGUUAUCCGGAUUUACUGGGCGUAAAGGGCGUGUAGGCGGCUAGAUAAGUGUGAUGUUUAAAUCCAAGGCUUAACCUUGGGGUUCAUUACAAACUGUUUAGCUUGAGUGCUGGAGAGGAUAGUGGAAUUCCUAGUGUAGCGGUAAAAUGCGUAGAUAUUAGGAGGAACACCGGUGGCGAAGGCGGCUAUCUGGACAGUAACUGACGCUGAGGCGCGAAAGCGUGGGGAGCAAACAGG